GCUUGUCUCAAAGAUUAAGCCAUGCAUGUCUAAGUAUAAACGACUUUAUACUGUGAAACUGCGAAUGGCUCAUUAUAUCAGUUAUAGUUUAUUUGAUGGUCCUUGCUACUUGGAUAACCGUAGUAAUUCUAGAGCUAAUACAUGCAUCAAACCCCGACUUCUGGAAGGGGUGUAUUUAUUAGAUUGAAACCAAUGCAGUCUUCGGGCUGGUAUUGUGUUGAGUCAUAAUAACUGUGCGGAUCGCGUUUUACGCGAUAAAUCGAUUGAGUUUCUGCCCUAUCAGCUUUGGAUGGUAGGAUAUGGGCCUACCAUGGCAUUAACGGGUAACGGGGAAUUAGGGUUUGAUUCCGGAGAGGGAGCCUUAGAAACGGCUACCACAUCCAAGGAAGGCAGCAGG
rnacentral:rRNA from 1 species